GAUGAACGCUAGCUACAGGCUUAACACAUGCAAGUCGAGGGGCAUCGCAGUGUAGCAAUACAUGGGCGGCGACCGGCGCACGGGUGCGUAACGCGUAUCCAACCUUCCCGUUACUCAGGGAUAGCCUUCCGAAAGGGAGAUUAAUACCUGAUGGUAUCAGAAUUUCGCAUGUUAUUCUGAUUAAAGAUUUAUCGGUAACGGAUGGGGAUGCGUGACAUUAGGUAGAUGGCGGGGUAACGGCCCACCAUGCCUACGAUGUCUAGGGGUUCUGAGAGGAAGGUCCCCCCACACUGGAACUGAGACACGGUCCAGACUCCUACGGGAGGCAGCAGUGAGGAAUAUUGGUCAAUGGUCGGAAGGCUGAACCAGCCAAGUAGCGUGAAGGAUGAAGGUUCUAUGGAUUGUAAACUUCUUUUAUACGGGAAUAAAACCACCUACGUGUAGGUGCUUGUAUGUACCGUAUGAAUAAGCAUCGGCUAACUCCGUG
rnacentral:rRNA from 1 species